rnacentral:rRNA from 1 species
ACGCUGGCGGCGUGCCUAAUACAUGCAAGUAGAACGCUGAAGGAGGAGCUUGCUUCACUGGAUGAGUUGCGAACGGGUGAGUAACGCGUAGGUAACCUGCCUGGUAGCGGGGGAUAACUAUUGGAAACGAUAGCUAAUACCGCAUAACAGUAGAUGUUGCAUGACAUUUGCUUAAAAGGUGCAAUUGCAUCACUACCAGAUGGACCUGCGUUGUAUUAGCUAGUUGGUGGGGUAACGGCUCACCAAGGCGACGAUACAUAGCCGACCUGAGAGGGUGAUCGGCCACACUGGGACUGAGACACGGCCCAGACUCCUACGGGAGGCAGCAGUAGGGAAUCUUCGGCAAUGGACGGAAGUCUGACCGAGCAACGCCGCGUGAGUGAAGAAGGUUUUCGGAUCGUAAAGCUCUGUUGUAAGAGAAGAACAGGUGUGAGAGUGGAAAGUUCACACUGUGACGGUAUCUUACCAGAAAGGGACGGCUAACUACGUGCCAGCAGCCGCGGUAAUACGUAGGUCCCGAGCGUUGUCCGGAUUUAUUGGGCGUAAAGCGAGCGCAGGCGGUUAGAUAAGUCUGAAGUUAAAGGCUGUGGCUUAACCAUAGUACGCUUUGGAAACUGUUUAACUUGAGUGCAAGAGGGGAGAGUGGAAUUCCAUGUGUAGCGGUGAAAUGCGUAGAUAUAUGGAGGAACACCGGUGGCGAAAGCGGCUCUCUGGCUUGUAACUGACGCUGAGGCUCGAAAGCGUGGGGAGCAAACAGGAUUAGAUACCCCUGGUAGUCCACGCCGUAAACGAUGAGUGCUAGGUGUUAGACCCUUUCCGGGGUUUAGUGCCGCAGCUAACGCAUUAAGCACUCCGCCUGGGGAGUACGACCGCAAGGUUGAAACUCAAAGGAAUUGAC